GAAGGCAUCUGGUCCUGGACAUUUCUUUGUUGGGAGGUUUUUGACUACUGAUUCAAUCUCCUUACUAGUGAUCUGCCACUGCUGCUGCUGCUGCUAAGUCGCUUCAGUCGUGUCCAACCCUGUGUGACCCCAUAGACGACAGCCCACCAGGCUCCCCUGUCCUUCGGCUUCUCCAGGCUCAGAUUUGGAUGUUGAGAAUACAGAAGUACACCAGAAAAGUAAAGCCCUGCUGUCAUGACGCUUUAUUCAAGAGGAGAUGGAGAGAAAAAAACAGACAAGAUGGUAUCAGGUGUUGGUAAAUGUCUGGGAGACAAUAAAACAAGUUAACAUGCAAGAGAGUGGGGGGAGGGGGCAUCUUUAGCUUACAGGGAAAGACUGUCUGAUAAUUUGACAUCUGAACUGAGACAGCAGAUUAGAAAAACAGAAGGAACCAGUCUUAUGAAGAUGAGGGUGUGAGCAUUCCAAUGAGAGGGAAAGGGAAUUUCAAAGGCUCCCAGGGAGAGGAAAGAAUUUGGUACAUCAGUGGAAUAUAAAGAUGAAGAAUUGAGAGAGGCAGAGAGGGAUCUGGGAAGAAGUGGAAGAGGUAGGCAGGACUGAGGAGGCGGAAGAGGAUGUGGGAGAUUUGAGGAGAGCAGAAAAUGUGUGAAAUCCUUGUUUUGGAGAAUGGGCAAGGAACAUACUGGGGAAGUGUAGUAGGGUUGCUUGGCAGCAUUGAGACUCCUUUUGAGAUGUGUGGUCAUGAAUUUAAACUAGAACUAGUUGGCAUAGUGCACGUUGUUCUGAGGACUAGAUUAAAUGAAUGGCAGUUUUUGAUACAUGGUAGAUGCUCAAAAAUGUUGACUAGCUAUCUUAAGAGAAGAAAUAGAUGAGGAAAAUGCAACAUGCUCAAUUAUUUUUGUGACUGUUUGAAUUCAUAGGAGCACCUAAAUGUAUAUUCUGAUAUUUGCUUUAAGACUAAGGUUUUCUAAAAUAAGG
ensembl:lncRNA